CAGCUGUGUGUCACUCAGCUCCCCUCCCCUUGAAUCCUGCCUUGUCUGUAGACUGGAGCUCUUAUCAGGUGCUUGCAAUUGCUUUCUGAUGUAUUCUGCUUGCUGACAGGCCUGUAAAUAGAAAUUUGUUUCUAAAGUGAAUCAAGAGCUGGUGGAAUUCGUCAGCAUGACACAUGGAGAAACAGCAUCUGCCUGUUGCCUGUGCUUCUGGUGUAGCACUGACAGUAUGUACGUGUGCCCUGCUCCAGGCAUCCUGCCUUCCUCCAGGCCUCUGUGGACUGCUGCUAAAUGGUGAGCAGCCUCCCAUCCGCACUUGUGCCAGGGGAGGCCUACCUGGCUUCCAGCAGCGCAACAUCGCAGUGGCCACCUCAUUUUGAAUUCCCUGGCCCAUGUGUUUGGGAUUUUGGACUAGAGUAGACACUGAUGGAAAUUUCUCUUACUUAACUUUCACAUGAAUGAUGAAAUUAGCGUGACGGGAUUCUGUGAGAGAGGUUUUUGCCUAAGUACAGACUAUCUAAAAUGGCAGUUAUCUCCCAAGGUCAUGACUUUCUUCUUCUACUGCUUCUUAUCCCCCAGGAUUUCUCUGUCGCCAUACCCACAAAUGCAUACAGAGAGAGGAGAAGGGUGCUCGGCAGUGCAAGGCCAUGCCUCUGGGUCUCCAUCCUUGCCUGACUCACCCCUGCACCGAUCAGCACUGAGUUCAUCAAUGAACUGAAAACAGAGUAAGUUAGUCACCAGAAGCACAUACAGCCUACUAGCCUUCAUCUUUGCAGAUGAGUUCAUGGAGCAUGAACUCUAUAAAUCUCAUUCUUUUGGGUGAGCUCCCAUCACAGGUCUGAAGAGGUCUGACAGCUACAUGCAGCAAGGUAAUCCUGUGCUCUCAUAUUAAAUGAAACUGCUGAAUCUGUCUCAGGCCAGAUCAAACAUUUCAGAUUCCAUAACUGCAUGCUCAACACAUUAUAAGUGUUAUAAUGCUUUUAUUUUUUUUUUUUUCCAUUUUUUUUUUUUUAUCCCAAAUUGUUGCUUAAGUGUUGUGGUUAACCACAACUUUUCUGCAUGUUAUCAUUACCCUGGAGAUAACAAAAUAGGUAAAAUUUUGUAUAUACAGGUUCCCUUCAGCUUAAUUUUUAGUAGCUAGCUACAAGAAACAUAACACUCAGAACAAACACAUCUGCUG
rnacentral:lncRNA from 1 species